rnacentral:rRNA from 1 species
UUGCCCAGUAACGGCGAGUGAAGCGGCAGCAGCUCAGAUUUGAAAUCCGGCCCCCCAGCGGGCCCGAGUUGUAGUCUGCAGAGGAUGCCCUGGGCGCGGCGCCUUCCGAGUUCCCUGGAACGGGACGCCACAGAGGGUGAGAGCCCCGUACGGUCGGACGCCAGGCCCGUGUAGGGCUCCUUCGACGAGUCGAGUAGUUUGGGAAUGCUGCUCAAAGUGGGAGGUAUAUGUCUUCUAAAGCUAAAUACCGGCCAGAGACCGAUAGCGCACAAGUAGAGUGAUCGAAAGAUGAAAAGCACUUUGGAAAGAGGGUUAAAGAGCACGUGAAAUUGCUGAAAGGGAAGCGCCCGCGACCAGACUUGGGCCCGGCAGGUCACCCAGGCUCUCGGGCUGGGGGCACUCUGCCGGGCGCAGGCCAGCAUCGGCUCGGCGCGGGGGACAAAGGCGGCGGGAACGUGGCUCCUCAGGGAGUGCUUAUAGCCCGCCGCGCACGCCCCGUGCCGGGCCGAGCACGCGCACCGCAGGGUGCUGGCGUAAUGUCGCCGGCGACCCGUCUUGAAACACGGACCAAGGAUCGUCCUCGUAUGCGAGUGUUGGGGUGCCAAACCCCUACGCGCAGUGAAAGCGAACGCAGGUGAGACCGAAGCUCGGCGCAUCAUCGACCGAUCUGAUGUUCUCGGAUGGUUUGAGUAAGAGCAUACGGGGCCGGACCGAAAGAAGGUGAACUAUGCUGUGUAGGGUGAAGCCAGAGGAACUCUUGGUGGAGGCUCGCAGCGUUCUGACGUGCGAUCGAUCGUCAAACAUGGGCUGGGGCGAAGACUAUCGAACUUCUAGUAGCUGGUUCCGC